UUUCAGCAGACAAUUACUUUAAUAGCUGGAUGGUGCUCAUUUUCACUGGGCUCUUUUGGGACGUACAUACCGUGCUCUUCCAGAAGAUGUGUUAACAGCCCUGGGAUUCCUUAACACGUCUAAAACUGAACAUUUGCAAAAGGUUUCCUGAAUGCAAAGAUUUGGAAGUCAAACCAGAAACUUCAGACUCUACUACGAUGGAAAGCACUUUGUUGGGGAGAAACGUUUUGAGUCCAUCCAUGACCUGGUGACAGAUGGAUUGAUUACUCUUUAUAUUGAAACCAAGGCAGCAGAAUACAUUGCCAAGAUGACAAUAAAUCCAAUUUAUGAACACAUAGGAUAUACAACUUUAAACAGAGAGCCAGCACACAAAAAACAUAUGCCAACCCUGAGAGAUGCACAUGAUGGCAAAGACUCUACAGGAGAGGAUGAGGUAGCAGAAAAGAGGCCAGACUUAUGAAGAUUGCUCUCUUCAGAGGGUUGCAUUAUGAGCUGAGAACUGACUGCAUUGUGGAUCAAAAAAGAAAAAUGAACAAAAAAGAAAUCUUAGAACCAGUGAAAACAAAUAUUAAAGGGAAUGGGAAGGCAUCAAAACAACAAAGCAGCUGCCUGAAACAUUAUUCACUUGAUGGAGACUUUUUAAAAGAAAGCAAAAUAUAGAUUCCAUCAUGUUAAACUAAUUACUUUGUUUAUUGAAAAGCCAGCAUGUUAAAGUCUUUUUAAAGUGUAUUCUUACAUAUGUUUAUGUGUGAAUGCAUGUAUAAUAAUCUGAUUUGCUCCCCUACUUCACUGACUUCACAGUGACUUUAGGAGUAUCUAAUAUACUUUUAAUGCUUUGAAGAAAUACUAGCCUUAGUUUGGAACAUGUGUUUGUUUUUCCAAUCAGAAAUAUGUCUGUGAUCACAGUUUGUCUUGAGGGGAAGAAGGGGUCUCACUAAUGAUUUCCAACAUACACAAGCAUCAUAAUGAAACUAAGUUGUGUUCAGAGUCCGUAGAGAGGCUUGUAGUUUUGGUCCUUCGUAUCCUUCUCCAGCAGUCCGAAGCACCAGACCUGUGCUGAAUUUACUGAGAGAUGAAGCUCCCAACGUGGUUCAAGAGUGAAUCUCAGUUUGCCUUACUGCAAUCAGAUCAUUUUAACGAAAGAAGUCCCAGUGGGCAUAUCGAUACUAGUUGACGAUACUAAAUAUUGGAUUUGUUGCCUGUAAAGUACUGAUGGUAGGGGUGUGACAACUCUUGACAGCCACUGAGUUGCAGCGUGCUGUUUCAAAAGAAUUUCUUUGUGUUAUCAUAGAGAGUUCGUUGUAAUGCAAAGCCUGGGUAACAAAUCUUCUGUAUGAGUUCUGGAAGUCACCACUUUGGCUUGGUUGGGUAAAAUUGACUCUUACUGCAUGUUGCAGCUUUCAAGAGACAACACGACUCUGUUCUGCCACAACAUUUUUUAGACUGAUGAAAAAGGGAUUUUGAUUAGUAUUGCUGAAAGAUUCUCGGUUUUAUGUACAAUUCAUGGUGUUAUGUCAGACUCAUCAAUAAGUAUGAAUAUUGUUUCAAAUAUUUUUCAUUAGAUAGUUCGAUACCUAUUAAGCAUUUCUCGCAUAUUGAAAUUUUAGGUGAAAAACUUUUCGAGAGGUCAGUUGUGUAAUUGCAGCAUCCCACACUGUUUGGAAGGUAUGAGCAACUCAAGUUGCUUUGUCUGCAACGUGGCUGAAUUGCGGUAAUGGUUGCCAGCCUAAAGCCCAGCCUUUGAAUCUCUUCACUGUAUAUGCCUUGGAAUCAUGUUGACAUGGACACAGUGGGGCACACAGUCAUCUCAGUGCAGUUAAAUGUGGAGAUUCCAGUUUAAUUUAAAGUCAUUGCCAGUUGGAAUCACUACUCUUGGCUACACAGGAAAGGCACAGCAUAUUCCUUUUACUGUGGAGUGGCAGAGAGGUCACACCUUUGCUGCCUCUGUCCACCUCUUAGCACCUGUGCUGGAAAAUGGCAGAGACUCACAAGUCUUACCUCAGCCAGCAAAUCUACAAGGGGAAUGAGACGCUCAGCCAUGUGACUGGUACGUGGUCCCAGCAGCAAUUUCAGCAUUUGCAGUGAGCCCUGGGGCCCAGCUAAGGCUUGCCAAAUACUUCCUCUGUCCUCUGUAAGUUAUAGGAUAUGGGGAGGGAGAAAAAUGCAGCAGUGGCCUUGCUCAGUGUCUCAUGCAAGGGAUAUGUGUGCACUGCAGGAGUGGUGGGGAAAGGAGACCUUCUAGAUUAUGAGCUUUUUGUUGAUGUAUGUUCUCUACUAAAUUGCUUGGAAGGUCACUGUACCUUUUUUGUGCGGGCUCCUGCUUCUUACUGAUAUUUAUUUGAAAACUUCCAUUUAUAAUCACAUACUCCCAGCCUUAUUAUGAGCAAUCACUUGAAUAACUUAGCCAUGGUAGAAGGAGGCUUUCUUGCAGGACGUUGAUUAAUAGGUCAAAUAUUUUCUAUUUAUCUUUGGCAACAGGAAUUAUUCAGUAUGAAGAGUAUAUCAGUGAAUCAACGUUGAUAAUUCUAGCAAAGAAUGCAAAGAAAAUUGUCCAAAAUACAACAAUUAAAAACAAAAAAAAGUUAGUUGUCUUAUCAUCUGAAAAGCAAAAGUUGUGUACUAUAACACUGACUCGGGAAUAGUGAUAAAGAAAAUUUCUGCACAGUGCAGUAUUUGGCAACUAAUGCACCUUUAUCAGCUUUACACUGUUGUCAGGGAGCUUCUCCCUCAAUUGUUGCUGUCUGUUUCUCCUCUGUAAACAGAGAAAAAAGUCUAGGUCUUGAGUUCUGAGACUAAAUAUGCUCCUAGAUUUGCAGAUUCAGUGGAUGUUCAGAUCCAACUUUAAGCUUUGUGACUGUUUCCCAGUCCCGUGUGAGUGGUGUACAAAAGAUAAAUCCAGAAGAAGAAAAGGAAAGAGACAUGCACUGGCUGGGGAACAGCUGGUGGGAGUGUAAUUUCACUUCCUGACAUAAAAUCAAGUGGAGGAAAUUGGGCAGCCAGAGAACACACCUCCAACUCGAGAAUUAAAUAUUAAAGAGCACUUUGCCUAGCCAUGAAUUUGGUAUGGGGUUUUGGCAGAGACUGCCACUGAUGUAUAUUAGAUCCCUCCACUAAUACUACUUCAUUUGUUCCCCACUCUUUUCAGCUAUUAAUCUGUAUUAGAAGAACUCAUUGUAUGCUAAGUGACCUGUUACAUUCAAUGCGUUAAAAAUGAGUUUUAGGAAAGGGGAAGUAUUUAAAGACCAUAAAAGUUGAAAAGGCAAAAAUUAUACAGUCAGUAGAUGAGAACUGUAGGACACAAGUCACAAUACUCCUAAGUACUGAGUCCUGCAACAGACCGAAUUGUGGAGUGAUUUAAGAUGCAGCUCUUAACAGAAAAAGCAUGAGAAUAUUAUGCACUCUACUCUGCCUCCCUGGUUAUGAGAAGGAUUUUUACUGUUUACUUUGCACAAGUUGAAAAUAAAAUUACUGGUACUGAUUUAUGAUUUUCAUAACCUGUGAAAGAAUUAAAUAGAUAACUGGAGCAGUGCAGAUUGAAAAUGGGAGAGGGCUUGACGUGUUCCAGUGCCCUGAAUAGGUAUUUUAGCUGCCAUGCUGUAAGGGUAUUGCUGGUUCCCAAAACAGUCUGCAGAUUGUUCAGGACUCAAUUGUGCAGCCAUCGUGGUCUGUCUGUUUAGAGAGAGGCCUGAGAUUCAUUUGAAAGGGGCUUCCCAUGUGGAUUCAGACAGUAUGGCCUAAUGUGGGGAUGGAAAUAAUACCCACUAUCACAAGAUUUACUGUUCCUCUCGUGCCUUGAAUACAGAUGGAUUUCUGAACGUUUUCCUCUCUCAGGGGUAAUUAUGGCCUUGAAAGAGAUGACUUGAUUGAGUUAAAUACCUUAUAAAAAUGGUAGCUCUAUGAAAUUAAUAAAUACCUAGAUACAUACAUCAAAAUCCUUCUUGAAAGCAAAACAUGAAAUUAUUUUUUUCAUUUUGACAUGCUUUGAGAUAUUAAUGUAAGGUGUAUGAUUUAUCCAAAAUUUAACGUGUUAUAAGAAAACAAAAUAAUCAGUUAUCAGCUUUCCUGUCUUUCAGAAUGAAAUACUGAGGUUAAUGUUAGGAUAGCAACUGAAUCGUAUCUAUUCUUGUUUACACUGGUGACAAGUGCUGUUUCUUCAAGAAGCUGCAGUAACAGCAAAUCAGAUGAAACCCCUUUCUAGACUGUGCUACAUUCUGUCCAAUUCCCAUAGAUGGAAAGAAUUGAGAGAAGGUUUGUGCAGCAGCUAUACAACAAAAGCACCCUUUUGUUCUAUUUUUUAUGGUCGGAGAGGUGAUACCGUUUAUUUUCCUCUGUAGUGAUGAAGGCUGAUUGUCUGCAACUGUGUUCAAGGAGAUUUGGAAAUGUAAAUGUAUGUCAUUUUAGUAGGAAACCUGCUUUUAAGCCUGCCUCAAAAGAUAAUCCAAAGCACAAAGUUAAUUGCAGUAUCUGUGUACAUUUUUAAUGGAUUCAUACCAGCUCCGCAUCCAAAAUGGAGGGUCACCGUUAUGGUUGCUCCCAGAGGACCAGUCUCAUUUUCCAAUCUUGAGCCAGCACUGGUAAUUUCACUAAGAGCACUACUGUUUAUCUGCUCUUGUUCUCGUUCAAAUCUGUUAGUUAAAUCUGCUCAAAAUCUCUCUCCACCACGGUUCAUUUUAUUUUCAGAGAAAGAAUAUCAGAGAAUGUAGUUGAGAAAGAUACAGUAUUCUGUUGCAGAAGCAUAAUCCCCUUUAGGGAACUCUGUAAUGGAGGAAGGCAACUUUGGCGUUUUAUUUGGCACCCGUAAUGCCCAGGCUGGGAGCAGUGGGGGCUGGAAUGAAGACAAGGCCUUAAUGAUCAUAGAAGAAGACUUUGGUGCUUUGGGACUGAGGAAAUCUCGAUGCUGGAAGCUGUUUGAAAUAGUUCCACUUAAUCAAAUUAACGAUUUUAUCAGAAAAGAUGGAUGCGUAAGGUCUGGCACCCUAGACAAGCUGUAGCUAGAUCAAAGGUAGUGUCAAAGCAGUAAUGCUGUUACAUGUACAGCUUAUAAACGUUUACCGUGAAGUACACUUAAAGACACACGAGGCUGAGCACUGAAGAAUCCCACGGGUUAACUUGAGAUUGUCAACUCUUUUCUCACAAAUGUUUUUCCCCAGUCCCUGCGCGGGUGUCUGUGACAAUCAUUCUGGAAGUUUAAUGUAAUUUAUAAAUAAAACAUAACUCUGUGGAAGGCAAAAA